rnacentral:rRNA from 1 species
GACGAACGCUGGCGGCGUGCCUAAUACAUGCAAGUAGAACGCACAGUUUAUACCUUAGCUUGCUACACCAUAGACUGUGAGUUGCGAACGGGUGAGUAACGCGUAGGUAACCUGCCUGGUAGCGGGGGAUAACUAUUGGAAACGAUAGCUAAUACCGCAUAAUAUUAAUUAUUGCAUGAUAAUUAAUUGAAAGGUGCAAUUGCACCACUACCAGAUGGACCUGCGUUGUAUUAGCUAGUAGGGGAGGUAACGGCCCACCUAGGCGACGAAACAUAGCCGACCUGAUGGAGUGUUCGGCCCCACUGGUACUGCGACACGGCCCAGACUCCUACGGGAGGCAGCAGUAGGGAAUCUUCGGCAAUGGACGAAAGACUGACCGAACAACGCCGCGUGAGUGCAGAAGGUUUUCGGAUCGUAAAGCUCUGUUGUAAAGGAAGAACGGGUGUGAGAGUGGAAAGUUCACACUGUGACGGUAUCUUACCAGAAAGGGACGGCUAACUACGUG